rnacentral:rRNA from 1 species
CAACUUUCAACAACGGAUCUCUUGGUUCUGGCAUCGAUGAAGAACGCAGCGAAAUGCGAUAAGUAGUGUGAAUUGCAGAAUUCAGUGAAUCAUCGAAUCUUUGAACGCACAUUGCGCCCUUUGGUAUUCCAAAGGGCAUUGCCUGUUCGAGCGUCAUU